CAGAAUCACCUGUGGAGCUUAAAACAUACCUGGCCUGUUGCCUGCCUCACAUUUUGAUUUAGUACUUCUGGCAUGAGAAACAGAAAUCUGUAUUUUCACUGAGUCCAGGUGCUUCUGAAGAGCAGUCAGGAUUCUGUGUGACCCCACCUGGUUUUUAUUCCUACUAGCAGUUUCAUACACUAAUAGAUGGAAAAAUGCAAUGAUAUAAAAUAUUUAAUCCAAAAUAAAUCCAAAUAAAAUAAUAAAGGAGAAAAGGAUACGUAAGAACAGGCAAGACAAAUAGAAAACAUUGUGCGCGUUUUGCAAUGGUUAGUACAAUGGUAGCUUUAAACCCAAAUUUAUUAGUCGUUACAUCCAAUGUAAAAACAAAGAGUACCAGAUUGGAUUUUUAAAAAUCCCAACUAUAUGUUACUUAUAAGAGAUACACCAUAAAUAUAAGGA